AAAAAACUUAAAAAACCCAUGUUUGUCUCCAUUUUCCUGAAGCAAAAAAAAAACUGUUCUUUUAGGGUUCCUCCAACCCUUGGGUGCCGUCGUUCCCUUAUGCUCAAGCUCCGAUUUCGACGGAAAUGGCAUCAACUUGGUAACCCCGGCAAACAGGUAAGUUUCUCCUCUCCCAUUUUUUUAUAUUUUAAGCGAAAAAUAAAUAAUAAAAAAAAGAAAAUAAAAAACGAAUAAUUAAAAGAAUGAUGAACACCAAAUAAGUAAAACGGAAAAAUUACCUAUGUAUCGAAAAUUUUUUUGUAUCUGUAUUUAAUCUCUUUCUUUCUAUUUUCCGUCUCCCAAAAAUCCCUCCUGUUUACAAUGUUUUGAGUUCGCUUUUAUAGCAAACAAUGAAACAAGAAAAAAGGUAAGAAAUUUCUCUAGCAUCUACUUGAUUCGUGAUUUCCAGAUUUUCUUGCCAUAUACUCUUGUUUCUUUUCUUGCCGUGCAGGUACGAUGUGUGGAGAUAGUUGCGGCGGCUGAAGAUUAGAAACCCUAGGGUUUCUGACAAUUUUGGGCCACCUCAAUUUGGGCAUUUGUUUUAUUUCAUUUUUGGCCACAUAGGCCUGCUUGUAAUUUAGACUGUUUUUGUAGGCCGGGUAAAAUUUGGGUAUUACACCCUAUUUUAAAAAGCCAGUAGCUUUCCUUCAAUUUAAGAACCAAAUGAAUAAUUCCAGUGGUUUAAAGGAUAAUUGAGACGUUGAGUAGGUUGAGAAAGGAAGGGGCUUAUUGUAAAGAUUUUGGUGAAAGGCUUGUGUUUAUGAUAGCCAGGUAAGCAACAACUGGACCAAAUUUGUAAUUUUGCAUUGGAAUUUGUUUGUUUGAUAUUGAAUAGUAAAUAAUAAAAAGACAAUCAGAUUGGGUGCAUUUGUUAGGUUUUAGAUUCCCUUUCAUAAACAACAAUUGAUAUAAAAGUAAAUAAAUUAUUUUUUAUUUGUUUAAUGAAUAUGUAAGUAAUAUUUUUAUGCGGUGCUUAGUGUGACAAGCUAACAGUACAAUAUUGACAUAACAUUUUCUUCCCCAUUUUUCUGUUCAGUUUUGUUAUAUAAGUAAAUAAAGUGAAUACUAAAAUAGUUUGUUUCUUGAACUCAUUACCAAUUGUUUUAAUUUUUAAAAUUAACUAAAGCCUUAAAAUUUGGAGUCUAUUUUAGUGAUCAUGGUGAAGAACACUACAAUCCAUUCCCUUAAUUUCCAUUAAGUUAGAUCCAGUUAAAUAUAUAGUUUUGGGUUAUCUCGGUUGUAGAAAUGAGUUUCAAACAAUGGAUCCAACAAUUUGUACAAAAGAAUAUACACAGUGUUGUUUGAAAUUAUAUUUAAGUAUUUAAAUAAAUUAUAUUAAGUUAACUUAUAUUUUAAGUCUCUAAGUAAAUUAUGUUAAGUUAAUAAUUAAAUUAUGGUAAGUUAAAUUAUAUUUGAGCCUUGUAAUAGUUUGUUUUUCAAUGGUAUUGGAAACGGUGGUUUCAAAUUUCAUUUUCGAUGAUCAAAUCAGUAAAUAUUAUUAUUUAAUAUUUAGGAGUUUGAUUUAGUAAUAUAUUGAAUUUUGGUCUAGUUAUUUUAUUAAAUCAAUAAUUAAUUAAGGUUCAAAGAUUAAAUCGUAAAAGUUGUAUAAGUCCAAUCGCUAUGGAUUUUAAUUAGAUAAAUAACCAAAUGAGUAAUUAAAUCAUUUCCUAUUAGUGGGUGGUGGAAAGUGACAUUAUUUUCCACUAUCUAGUGGUUAAUUAUGAUUAUAUUAAGUUAACUAAUCUCUAAUUAAUUUAGUUAAGGUUAAUUAAAGUUUAAACAAUAUAAAAGAUAAAUUAAAGAAACAAAUGGCCAUUUUUCAAGUUGAUCUUCUCCCCACCGUAGCUAAGAAGAAAAAAAAGGGUUUCAAAGCUUUCAAACUUUACUUCUGCAAUUGGUGGGUUAUUUCAAGUCCAUUUCUUGUCAUUUUUAUGUUUUUGAGGUCUUGGGAGCUUGGUUUAGCUAACACAUGUACCAAUUUGUAAAACUUUGAAAGUUUUCAAAAGUUUUCAUUGAUGAUUUCUUGAACUUUUUGGUGUCAAAUGGAUAGAUUUUAAGCUUAGAUGUGAAAAAAUGACUAAUUUGUAAAGUGAAUUUGUUAGUUUUAUAAAAAAGAUUAAAGUGUAAAAAUCACAAACAAGUGGUACAAAAUUUCUAUAAUAGUAGAUGAUAAAGGGAUAUAAAAUAUUGUAAUUGAGAUCGGUUUUAAAAUAGAAACUCAAAUUUGAAAGUUAUGACAAUUACAGCUUUUAGGGAUUAAAUUGAAUAAAAUGCAAAACUUUAGGGAGUAUUCAAAAGUGAGAUUGAACCGAUGCAUGCAUAUAAUAGGAUGAUAUAAUAUAUUUAGAAAUGAUAAAUUGAAAUGAAUUAUUGUUUAGAUCGAGAAUUGAACCAAGUUGAAGAUAAUCGGGAAAAUACAAAAUUGUUUAUUAGUCCUUAAAGAUUCAAUUGCUUGAUGUUUUGCCGUAAGUUCAUAUGGAAUUUACAUUAUUUUAUUAUUUUAUGACUAAAAUUUUCUUACUUUGUUUGAUAGUCUAUUUAAAUGUAAAAUUUGUAGUUUUGGCUUCAAUUAGACCUGAAUCAUAAAAUCUAAAAGUUAUAAUUAUUUUGAAUUGGUAUGAAAAAUUUAAAUGUAUAUGGAUUUUUUUUUUGAAAUAUAAAAAGAGUGUCUACGACUACAGGGUUUGAAAUGAUACGAUAAUGGUAACGGUGCCCAUGUGAACUUAGUAAAUGAUUAGGAUACAAAUGGCAUACCAUUUUAGUCUAAACAAGGAAAAUAGAUGUCUAAUCAAGGGUUUAUAUGAUGAUUUGAGGUCCAACAUAUGUUGUGAAUUCUCUAAACCUUGUGUGAGCAAUCAUCGAACCUGAUCUAAAAAAUUGUGAAAGCAACCCAAAUAUGUCAGCUUAUAAAAGCACACAAGUCCCGUAUUCAAAUUCAAUUUACUAUAGUUAUCAUGGCGAAAACGGUAAUUAAACAGUAAUGAAACGGUUGAGAUGAUUGAACAUGAACUGAAUUGUUAUGUUUGCAAAUUGAGUAGUCUGAAUUGUAUAUGAAUUAAGUUGGAAUGAUUGUAAAUGUAUAUGAUUUGAGCAUUAUGAUCUUAUUAUGCUUAUGAACUAACCUAUAGGUUGUUUUGUUGAAUUGUACAUGGAAGUAUAAGGAUGCUAAGGGAAUACCAUGAUUAUGCCAAUGAGAUUCAAUUGCUUAAAUUGUUGUAAUGUCAUGAUUGUUGACUUGUAGAACGUGUCGGUCGAAUCGUCCCGAAGCUCACACUAUCCUACGAUAGACUCUGUAGUUUAUGAUCGUUUUUAGACUUGAUUAUGUGUCUUGUACAUAGGUGUUGUUAUGGUAACCUAAAAUGAUAGUUUUGGUUUGAACUUUGGUUAAUGCUUGAUUUUGUCAAGGUUAAUGUCAAUUGGUAUAUGUAAGUUUGGUAAUAUGUAAUGUUGUGUGUAUGGUACUUAUAAUUUUUAAGUUUGGAUAUGUAACUUUUGUUGUAUGUUUUGAUAAUUUUGCAAUUUGGUCCUCAGGUUGGGAAGUUUGGCUACUGCCUUCGAGAUCGCAAUACCAAGCUUUCAAUAUCACGAUACCCAUCUGAUAUAUUUUUAAGUUUGGAUACUAUCUUUGGUAUCACGAUACCAAGAUAUGGAUAUCGCAAUACCGCCCUAUCACAUUAGAAACUUUUUAGCUUAGUUAUAUUGCUCGAGUGAAUAAAAGAGCUUUCGUAAGCUCGAUUAAGACUCGGAAUUGAUUGUGUAUCUUAAUAUGAAUGUGUUUAUGACUUGAAUGUAUGUUUGAAUGUUAUAAUUGUUGUAUAUGACGAUAGUUGCCCCGGAAACUAAUGUGGCGAUCGAAUUUGGUAAGGGGUGUUACAAGCCUCUAACUAAAUUAUAUUUUAAGUCUCUAAUUAAAUUUGUAUAAUGAGUUUAUUUCAACAUUA